rnacentral:sRNA from 1 species
UAGUGUGUGAGGAGCAAGUUAAAAGUAAAAAACGCCUGGGGUGGAAACACGGUAACACUCCCAGGCGUUUUUUCGU